GUCUUGCUCUGCUGCUGACACUGGCCUUGAGCUGCUGGUCUCAAGCGAUCCUCCAGCCUCAGCCUCCUGAGUUGGGAUUACAGGCACAAGCCACAGUGCUCGACUUUUUAUUUAAUCUUGUUAGAAGACAAGACAGAAACAUGUCCGUUGUGAAAACAAGGAAGCUGCGGGCGGAUCGAUUGACCCCAGGAGUUCAAGACCAUUCUGGGCAACAUAGCAAGACUCUAUCUCUGAAGACAAAACCAGCCAACCAACCAACCAACCAAUCAACCAACAAAAAAGAUCAAGCAGAGGUGCUCCAGAGGACGCAGCAAUAGAAUUCCGGAGCAAUGUCUGCUUGGCCUCGGUCUUCAUUCCCAUGGUGGCCCCUGAGUUCCGUGGAGCUCACUUCUACAUAGUUCCAUGUGUGACUUCAACAAAAUAAAAUGACGCAUUUAUUGGUUAAAAAUCAGA